CUGGUGGUUCACAGGGCCCGGUGGACGAGGGCUGCCCCUUUGACGUGGCGGCUAGCACAGCCUGAUGAAAAACUAUAAAAAUCUAGCCUAUUUCGAGGUCCAGUCCAUUUUACUGGUCAGUUUUAGCACUAUGGCGCGUUGGACUACUACUUCAUUCUGUUUGUUCUUGAUUUUGGCGUGUGUAGAGAGUGGAUUGAUCCACACGGAAUUUCAUGUGGAUGCGGAGCUUGCAUUGGGUGUGGAUCAAAAGGACAACGCCAAUGAUACCUCACCAAUGAUGAGAGAGUCAAACGACGCCUCUGUUGUAUCAGAAACCCGAACAGACAGCAACGUCUCUAGCAAUACUACAGCCGCGGACAAAAUCUUGAUUAUCAAGAAUGAAACAAAAGAGCUUUUUGAAGAUUUUAACAAGUCUCUGGUGUCCUCAAAUUCAUCUCCAGAGACCUCUCUGUUUAUAGGAUCUGCUACAGGUGAAAGUUUGAUUGACGCGAGCUCGAAAGGAAAUGUCACAGCCGUCGACGAUGCGAAUCUGACAAGUGAUAAAACAACCCCGAUCACCACGGAUAUUAAAUCCACACAAACAUUUUCUUCCCAAAUUCCCCCUGACUCUCCCACGCCCACGUUAAGCUCCGUGACCAAUUCCUCACUGGUUGCCAAAGAAUCAGUGACCAAUGCCGAACAAAUUACUACGGUUCCAUCCGUCGCCUCAAAUAUGGACGUCACUGACGUUCACACUCAGACCCCGCCAUUAUCAAGUACUGAAGUCUUAGCGUCUGCACCGUCUGAUGAUGUCCAGGUCUCAGUAUCCGAGACCACAGGGGCAGCAGUCCUUGAUGCGACCCUUGAAACAGUUACUACAUCGGCCCCUGCUGUGGGAGACGUCUCAACCACGCCAUUACCUGCUGUAGCAGACGCAGAGUUUGUUGAAAAUUUAUCGAUGCUUUCCAAGACAAUGGAUGGGUUUGAUUUGAUUAUGGACAGCGCGAUCGAAGAUUCGAUCAACGAAAGUAAAGGUUUAUUUGAUACUACCGUGAGUGAUACCUCUGCAGCACCAGCUAAUCAAGAAAUUGUAUCCACUGGCGGCCCAUCACUUGAUUCAGGGACAACCGAAACUGUACUAACCUCAACUGGUAGUGUUUUUGAAACCCUUGCUAUUUCCGCAUCAAACAACAUAGGUGCUAGCGAGAGUAUUUCUUCCUCUUCAAAUAUUUCAACAGACACAACAACAAACGGGGUUGAGAACGUUGAUAUGGCAGCGUCGAUGUCAAUAACAACAGCGGUCGAAACUCCAAUUGAAACAACGACCUCUGCGGACAACGUUGUUAGCGCACAGAUUAAGACCACGGAAAAGUUUACUGAACCAGUCAUUACACCAGUUGUAUCAACAGGCGAAAGCUUGCAAUCAACAGAAACUCCAACGGUUCCAACUCCAGUAUCAGCGACGGUGAAACCCACAGACAGCACAGACAAUGUUGUCACAUCUACUGAAAGAGUGGUUAUAUCUUCGGACUCUAUUGUUGAAAACCAAGUGGGAACAAUAAAUACAGACGAUCUAUCUCCCCCCACUGUGGUUGUUGACCAUGCUACUUCUGAUGUAGUAGAGACAACGGUAGAGACUUUAGAAACUAAACCAAUAGUAGACACAACAUCGGAGACCAAUGCACAGCAAGAUACAACAACCAUGCAGAAUACUGCAGAGUCGGUCUCAGCAACGUCAUCAGCCUCAUCAGGAACUGGAAAAUCAGUCACAACAACGACAACAACAAAAAGGACGACAACAACAGCAACCACAGAGGCCCCCUCGACAGCAAGCACCACCCCGAGACCAUGCCCUGUGUACCAAACCAAGUACAACCGGAACGACCUUCUGGUGACCACUGAGCCCGAGGGCUGUACCAUAGGACUGCGGUACCCCGAUGUCUCCUUCAAAUACGAGGGUGAAGAUGGUGGAACCGACGAGAAGUGUCGAAUGCCCACUAAAACAGUGGGGCCCUAUAUUGUUGUAGAUACCAUACCGGGGCGAUGCCAAAUGGUGAUUGGUUUGAGAAGCGUUAGAGCCCCUAUCCAGAUAAAUAACCCACCCGGAAAGAAAGGGCCACCACAGCGCCUGUUUAGAUUCCGAUUAGUCAUGCGUCCCGUGGUGGAAUAUUUAGAGGGAGACUUGCUGUAACUGGUCGGCGCCAAAAUUUGUGGACAUUCAGAUUCUCAAAUUUAGAUGCGAA
rnacentral:sRNA from 1 species